UACGUAGGGUGCGAGCGUUAAUCGGAAUUACUGGGCGUAAAGCGUGCGCAGGCGGUUUUGUAAGACAGAUGUGAAAUCCCCGGGCUUAACCUGGGAACUGCGUUUGUGACUGCAAGGCUAGAGUACGGCAGAGGGGGGUGGAAUUCCACGUGUAGCAGUGAAAUGCGUAGAGAUGUGGAGGAACACCGAUGGCGAAGGCAGCCCCCUGGGCCUGUACUGACGCUCAUGCACGAAAGCGUGGGGAGCAAACAGG
rnacentral:rRNA from 1 species